rnacentral:tRNA from 2 species
AUGACUAUGGCGAAAUAGGUAAACGCGGCUAAUUUAGUAUUAGUUAAUAAACCUAAGGGUUCAAAUCCCUUUGGUCAUA